AAACAAAAUCCAAAAGAUAUUCAUACCCUGGCACAGUUUAUUUCUGCUUACUCACUUGCAGAUCCAGAGAAAGGCACAGCUCUUAGUAAACAUUUGCCAUCAUCAGAUAGUAUGUCUCUAAAAGUAGAUGUUGAGGCUCUUGAAAAUUCUCCUGGUGCUACAUACAUUUGGAAGGGUGGAAAAGUUACUAGAGAUAGUCAACCAAAGGAACAAGGAAAGGGAGAUUUGAAAAAGAAAAAGAAGGGAAAAUUGCCUAAGAAUUAUGACCCAAAACUUACCCCAGAUCCAGAAAGAUGGCUGCCAAUGCAAGAAUGUUCUUUCUACCAGGGAAGAAAGAAGGGUAAAAAGAAGGAUCAGAUGGGAAAAGGGACCCAGGGAGCAACUGCAGGAGCUUCAUCUGAACUGGAUGCCAGAAAAACUGUGAGUAGCCCACCCACCUCCCCAAGACCUGGCAGUGCAGCGACACUAUCUGCCUCUACAAGUAACAUCAUACCCCCAAGACACCAGAGACCUGCAGGGGCUCCAGCAACAAAAAAGAAACAGCAACAGAAAAAGAAGAAAGGUGGAAAAGGUGGCUGGUGA
rnacentral:lncRNA from 1 species